AGCAAUAAUAAGCAAAGAUUUGGUGGUUUGGAGCUCCGGCAAUGCCUAAAACAAUAGAUUGAAAAAGCAUCAUUGAGGGCGCUGGUUGUAUAAAGAAUUAGGGCGACAGAAAGUCUGGAUGUGCGAUACCACAUGCACAAAGUGAACUUGUUCAAGGCUGGGAGACUUGGGAGACGGGCGAUUCCCGAAAGUUCCAGCUUGAAGUCCGUUGCUGCUAUACCUGGUGAACAGGCAGUACACAACAUUAACAACCUGGUAUAUAUGGACAAAUAAAUUUGUUAGCGUUUGCAUACCAUCUAGCGGAGCGAAUAAAGCGGUGGCUUUAUA